UUUUGUCGUUAUUCAGCGAUUGCAGUUGCAUUGCGUAUGCGAUAUAAUUUAAAUUAUUUGUCGUCAAUUGACGGAUCCAUUGUUUCAUUUAAUUAAGUAUUAGUCUGACUUCUGAGCAAGCGUACCAGUUUUUUAUAAUUUAAAUAUUGUCACUAGUGGAAAUUUUUCCACAAGACGAAAUAGGGUUGAACAUAAACCCUAUAUCCCGAUUUUCUUAUUUCGAUAUAAUUAAAAAAUAUCGAAAGUAACGGUCAGAAGUCAGAACUAUUAUCUCCCAGUCAGGAGCCUACAUUAUUGCCAUCUAUUAGCAUCCCUCCAAUCCGGAUGUACAUCUUGUAUAGCCAGAGGAAUUUCACAUGUUGAGAGGUUGGAGCUGUAAAGACAAAAGGUCAGAGAUACGUCCAAUCAUUAUCAUACUUAUCUUCACAAAACAAGCGCUGUCCAGCUAUCUGUUGAACUUUACCUAUGCACAUCAAAUUUUUGAAAAUCCAUUACCUACUUACCUCGAAUGCUUCCAUAAUUUCUUUUUCAUACUGCAUUGAUUUUAAUUAUUUUUGUACAUAAUACUAACAUGUAGUUUUAAGUUUUUUUUGUAAUACUAUUGUUAAUAAUUAUAAGGAAGCAUUUCGUUCAGUAGAGAAAAAAAAAGGAUUUCGUUUGUUUUUUUUUGUGUUCAUGAUUUUGUCAAAAAUGUCGUGACAAAUUUUUUGGGUAUUGGAUAUUACUGCAAAGAGAAUUUUUUUCUUGAUUACAAUGGCUCAAUUUCGGUGGCUAAUAUUACUUAUCAGUGGAAAUUAGCUUUGAACUGCGAAUGUAAAUACGUUUCUUGCUGAACUUUGUUACUGUUUAUUAUUCCGUGAAACUCCUCAGUAAGCACUUGCUCUAAAUUGUAGUCACAACAGUUUGUUAAUUUUCCACGAAUCCGAAAUCUUGGAAUCUACAACGAUCUAGGAGUUUUCUUAUGACAUUGAUAUUCUUCACGAUCAUUAACGUCGUAGCCUUACAAUUACAGUUUUAUAACAACAAAAAAUCGCAAAACAAAGCAUAUAUUGAG